rnacentral:rRNA from 1 species
UGGGGAAUCUUGCGCAAUGCACGAAAGUGUGACGCAGCAACGCCGCGUGCGGGAAGACGGCCUUCGGGUUGUAAACCGCUUUCAGUUGGGACGAGGGUUCUGCGGUUAAUACCCGUAUGGACUGACGGUACCUUCAGAAGAAGCCCCGGCUAACUACGUGCCAGCAGCCGCGGUAAUACGUAGGGGGCAAGCGUUGUCCGGAAUCAUUGGGCGUAAAGCGCGUGUAGGCGGCUGAGCAAGUCCGCUCUGAAAGCCCGAGGCUCAACCUCGGGAGGCGAGUGGAUACUGCUCAGCUCGAGUCCGGAAGAGGAGUGUGGAAUUCCUGGUGUAGCGGUGAAAUGCGCAGAUAUCAGGAGGAACACCAAUUGCGAAGGCAGCACUCUGGGACGUGACUGACGCUGAGACGCGAAAGCGUGGGGAGCAAACAGG